AACCCUUGUCCUUAGUUACCAGCACGUUAUGGUGGGCACUCUAAGGAGGACUGCCGGUGGACAAACCGGAGGAAGUGGGGGAUGACGUCAAGUCAUCAUGGCCCUUACGGCCUGGGCUACACACGUGCUACAAUGGUCGGUACAAAGGGUUGCCAAGCCGCGAGGUGGAGCUAAUCCCAUAAAACCGAUCGUAGUCCGGAUCGCAGUCUGCAACUCGACUGCGUGAAGUCGGAAUCGCUAGUAAUCGUGAAUCAGAAUGUCACGGUGAAUACGUUCCCGGGCCUU
rnacentral:rRNA from 1 species